rnacentral:ncRNA from 1 species
AAAUAAAUAGGAAAUAUGCGUGAAGUGUCAAUUCUAAAACGGAUUACGGAAUUGAACGAACAAAUUAUAUGAUUUGGCGGUAUAUUUUCUAGAUCCCUAUUU